AAGGAAGCUCCGGACAGGAAUCAGCCAGGCUUCAGCUUUCUGAUGGGGAUUCUGAGGCACUCAGGCACAGAGACGGCUCUAUCACCCAGGACUGCGCCUGGCAGCCAGAUCCCAUCACCUCCUGAGGGUAAAAAGGGGGCAGCAUGAGCCACCUCUCCCAGGAAGGACAACAGGACAAGGGCCACCGGGAUGCAGCGGGCCUCUACUAAGAAGCGUCUCGUGUCUUCCAAGGCGCUUCACAGUGGGCCACGUGGGGCCACCCACCACAAAGCCUGAGAAGCAGUGGCGCGCCUCCAAGGGUGGGACUUAUCACCUCCUAGGCAGCCCCUCAGCUCUCCGGGUGCCAUCAUCUUAUCAAGCUCUCCCUACAAAGCCUGUCCCACAGGAGAUGAUGCGAGCAGGUCAAUCCCACAAUUUCCAGAAAUUCAGACCUUGGCCACUCACCCAGAGCACACAGCAGAUUUCCAGUUUGCAGCCCCAGCCCUUCUCCAAGGCUAGAGAGUGGUGCUGUGUGCUGUGCUUUGCCGCUCAGUUGUGUCUGACUCUUGGCUACCGAUGGACUGUAGCCCACUAGGCACCUCUGUCCACGGGGAUUCUCCAGGCAAGAAUACUAGAGUGGUUUGCCAUGCCCUCCUCCAGGGGAUCUUCCCAACCCAGGGAUUGAAACUAGGUCUCCUGCAUUGCAGGCAGAUUCUUUACCAUCUGAGCCACCAGGGACGGAGAUGCCAUCUAAUGCCUCCCACUAAACAAAAUGAGAAAUCUGCCAUUCCUUUCUCUCCUCUUCCCCUCCCCCACACUCAUCUACCUCUCAACCUGUCUGUAACAGUC
ensembl:lncRNA